rnacentral:rRNA from 1 species
AGCGAACGCUGGCGGCAGGCCUAACACAUGCAAGUCGAACGAACUCUUCGGAGUUAGUGGCGGACGGGUGAGUAACACGUGGGAACGUGCCUUUUGGUUCGGAAUAACUCAGGGAAACUUGUGCUAAUACCGAAUGUGCCCUUCGGGGGAAAGAUUUAUCGCCAUUAGAGCGGCCCGCGUCUGAUUAGCUAGUUGGUGAGGUAACGGCUCACCAAGGCGACGAUCAGUAGCUGGUCUGAGAGGAUGACCAGCCACACUGGGACUGAGACACGGCCCAGACUCCUACGGGAGGCAGCAGUGGGGAAUCUUGCGCAAUGGGCGAAAGCCUGACGCAGCCAUGCCGCGUGAAUGAUGAAGGUCUUAGGAUUGUAAAAUUCUUUCCCCGGGGACGAUAAUGACGGUACCCGGAGAAGAAGCCCCGGCUAACUUCGU